UAAUAUACCGUUGUGUCAAUUAACGAAUCGGGUAUUUUCUCCGGGAUUUUAACCAGCAUAAAUUGAAUAUGGUUAUUUAUUAUACUUUUCGUUUAACAACAAAUAUACACAAUUUUCUGCCCGUAUAUUAUAGUCAUCGUAUAUAUUGUAGUCACGGCCGAUCUAAUUGUGAGCGGAGACAAUGUAACAGCGUAUGCGGUGGCGGCGGCAGUGACGUGAUGAAAUCGUGAUGGAGUCGUUGGUGUGUCUGGUGUGUCUCUUGAUCUCACCGUGGACAGUUAUCGAUUGAACGAAAAUUUAUU